AACUUUCAACAACGGAUCUCUUGGCUCUGGCAUCGAUGAAGAACGCAGCGAAAUGCGAUAAGUAAUGCGAAUUGCAGAAUUCAGUGGGUCAUCGAAUCUUUGAACGCACAUUGCGCCCUUUGGUAUUCCGAAGGGCAUGCCUGUUCGAGCGUCAUU
rnacentral:rRNA from 1 species